rnacentral:lncRNA from 1 species
GUAGGGAGUUCACAUACCAGGAGUUCCUUAUACUGAUGAAAAAAUGGAUCUGUAGACCUUUCCUUCUACCCUUCAAAAAUAGACUUUUCUAGGCUAUAAACCCCUUGAAAUCUGGGAUUGUUUCUUCUGCUUCUUUUACAUUCCACACAGCACCUGAGAGCAUACUGGGCACCCAACACAGCAGUGAUAUCACCCGUGGAGUUUGCAUGAAGAAAAAGAGCUAUGAAACAACUAUGCUCUUGGAAAAAACCAAGAUAGAUACACCCAAUAAUGAAGAACUGAGGUGGAGAUUCUGUGAUGAAGAACAGCUCCUGGAUCUCCAGGGACCUGCCCAGUAA